GAUGAACGCUGGCGGCGUGCCUAAUACAUGCAAGUCGAGCGAACGGACGAGAAGCUUGCUUCUCUGAUGUUAGCGGCGGACGGGUGAGUAACACGUGGAUAACCUACCUAUAAGACUGGGAUAACUUCGGGAAACCGGAGCUAAUACCGGAUAAUAUUUUGAACCGCAUGGUUCAAAAGUGAAAGACGGUCUUGCUGUCACUUAUAGAUGGUUCCGCGCUGCAUUAGCUAGUUGGUAAGGUAACGGCUUACCAAGGCAACGAUGCAUAGCCGACCUGAGAGGUUGAUCGGCCACACUGGAACGGGGACACGGUCCAGACUCCUAGGGGAGGCAGCAGUAGGGAAUCUUCCGCAAUGGGCGAAAGCCUGACGGAGCAACGCCGCGUGAGUGAUGAAGGUCUUCGGAUCGUAAAACUCUGUUAUUAGGGAAGAACAUAUGUGUAAGUAACUGUGCACAUCUUGACGGUACCUAAUCAGAAAGCCACGGCUAACUACGUG
rnacentral:rRNA from 1 species